rnacentral:rRNA from 1 species
AUGAACGCUGGCGGCGUGCUUAACACAUGCAAGUCGAACGGCCCUUCGGGGCAGUGGCAAACGGGUGAGUAACGCGUUGGUAUCUACCUUUGUCUUCGGCAUAACCCCUCGAAAGAGGGGCUAAUACCGAAUAGUCUCUUCGGAGUAAAGCUUUUGCGGACAAAGAGGAACCUGCGUCCUAUCAGCUUGUUGGUGAGGUAAUGGCUCACCAAGGCUAUGACGGGUAGCUGAUUUGAGAGGAUGAUCAGCCACAAUGGGACUGAGACACGGCCCAUACUCCUACGGGAGGCAGCAGUGAGGAAUUUUGCGCAAUGGACGAAAGUCUGACGCAGCAACGCCGCGUGAAGGAUGAAGACCUUCGGGUUGUAAACUUCUUUUUUAAGGGACGAAGUCCGACGGUACCUUAAGAAUAAGCACCGGCUAACUACGU